rnacentral:rRNA from 1 species
AUUGAACGCUGGCGGCAUGCCUUACACAUGCAAGUCGAACGGCAGCACGGGAGCAAUCCUGGUGGCGAGUGGCGAACGGGUGAGUAAUAUAUCGGAACGUGCCCAGUGAUGGGGGAUAGCCCGGCGAAAGCCGGAUUAAUACCGCAUACGACCUACGGGUGAAAGCAGGGGAUCGCAAGACCUUGCGUCAUUGGAGCGGCCGAUAUCAGAUUAGCUUGUUGGUGGGGUAAAAGCCCACCAAGGCGACGAUCUGUAGCUGGUCUGAGAGGACGACCAGCCACACUGGGACUGAGACACGGCCCAGACUCCUACGGGAGGCAGCAGUGGGGAAUUUUGGACAAUGGGCGCAAGCCUGAUCCAGCCAUGCCGCGUGCGGGAAGAAGGCCUUCGGGUUGUAAACCGCUUUUGUCAGGGAAGAAACGGUUCGGGCUAAUACCUUGAACUAAUGACGGUACCUGAAGAAUAAGCACCGGCUAACUACGUGCCAGCAGCCGCGGUAAUAC